GUGCUCACUUUGGCAGCACUUAUACUAAAAUUGAAACGAUACAGAGAAGAUUAGCAUGGCCCUUGCACAAGAAUAAUAUCUUUAUUAAACAUCAUGAUUACAAACAU